GCUGUACAGGUGUACUGACAGUGAUGGGGGGGGGGGGGGUGAUAAUAUGAAGAAAAGUUCCUGUAUCCCUCAUUUUCUUGGUCACUGGAGGCUGUACAGGUGUACUACUGACAGUGACGGGGGGGGGGGGGGGGGGGGGGGGGGGAUAACAUGAAGAAAAGUUCCUGUAUCCCUCUUUUUCUGGGGUCACUGGAGGCUGUACAGGUGUACUACUGACAGUGACGGGGGGGGGGGGAUAACAUGAAGAAAAGUUCCUGUAUCCCUCAUUUUCUUGGUCACUGGAGGCUGUACAGGUGUACUACUGACAGUGACAGGGGGGGGGGGAUAAUA